CCGAUAGCGAACAAGUAGAGUGAUCGAAAGAUGAAAAGCACUUUGAAAAGAGAGUUAAACAGCACGUGAAAUUGUUGAAAGGGAAGCGCUUGCGACCAGACUCGCCCUCGGGGUUCAGCCGGCACUCGUGCCGGUGUACUUCCCCGGGGGCGGGCCAGCGUCAGCUUGGGCGGCCGGUCAAAGGCCUCCGGAAUGUAGUGCCCCCCGGGGCACCUUAUAGCCGGAGGUGCAAUUGCGGCCACCUGGGCUGUAAGAACGCGCUUCGGCACGGAC
rnacentral:rRNA from 1 species